rnacentral:lncRNA from 1 species
GGGUGGGUGGGUGGGUGGAAGAAAGCUGCAGUCUUUUUGGCUGGGUGAGAGAACACAGCCAGCCCGAGUACUGCAGACAACUCAUUUCCCAUCCUGUGGAGGCUUUCUUUCAGUAAGAUUUGACAAUGGAAGCUCACUUCUCUCUCUCUCUCUCUCUCUCUCUCUCUCUCUCCUCUUCUUCUUUUUCUUUUCUUUAGAUAAGAUAGUUAAUAAUGUAAUGUUUUGUGCUUUUUAGGUGGACAUAAUUCCACUUUAUCUGCUUUUGCUAGCUAGCUCAUGAUUCCAUCUGCAUGAAUGAUUUCUUUGUGCAUAUCUUUCAGGUAAUCAAUCCCUUUUUUUUAUCAAAAGUGGAGAGCCUUUAGCUGAUGCCCUUAAUCUCUAUCUAUCAUCCGUCGACAAUAAACUAUGUGAGAACUCUCUCACGCAGGCCAUUCUUCUCGAGGCCUGCGUCAAGAUCUCAAAGUCCAUCCCCCGGGAGGAAUUAGACAGACUUAUUUUGAUCCUACUUACAUGAAAAUCCAGGACGAGGGUGUUGGUGAGGAGUCGUUUUCUGUAAUGCAUUUGGUAGC